GAUGACGAUAUUGACUUGACA
rnacentral:snRNA from 1 species